rnacentral:misc_RNA from 1 species
CCGAAUGUUACCAAACAUACACCCUUGUGAACCUUUUGUAUUUCUGCCUUGGCAGGUAAUCCCAGGGCGGGAUUCCAGGCCUCUUCGGAGGCACCUGCCAGCGGUGGAGCAUUUUCAAACUCUGAAUUACAGUGGACUUCUGAGUGUCUUCCAAAAUAAGUUA